rnacentral:lncRNA from 1 species
AUUAACAUAACAUAUUCUCAAAAUGUCUCUAAAUAAUUUAAUGAUUAGGGGACCCAUGGAAAGAGUGAAAUGGUUUAAUUUUUGGGAGAAGAAUUAACAUUUGCUAGAUCUGAUAUGUAAUUAACAAAUUCAUUAAUUCAGAUCAAUGAGAAAAUGCUUGUGAUUUAUCUCAUCAAAUGGACUUUUUUUUUUUUCUUUUGAUAGAUAAAAUAAGCAAAUAUAUUAGAAGUGCUUGGAAAAGGCACGCAAAGUGCAUAUGGAGUAUACAAAAAGUGCCAAAAGGCAAGCAUAGAGGAAAGAGAAACAACAAACCACAACCAAAUACAACAACACCUUAAAGAUCUAGAAAAAUAGAGAGCUCCCAUAUGACCUUCUUGCAGGCAAACCAAGAAGGUUGUAUGAGUUCAUUUGAUGAAUUUGUCAAACCAAGAAGGUUGUAUGAGUUUAUUUGAUGAAUUUGUCUCAUCAAAUGGACUUAUAAGUUCCGCAUUUUUAGCAUGAGACCUUAACACAUUGUAAUGCAAUUCUGCCAUCUCACAUGCAUGUACUUGGAUUUGGUUAAGUAUGACAAUUACUUUCACUUUGUCUGCAAUGAAACAAAAAAUAAAAGUUUUU